CGAGAUGUCAAAACGAGAUGUUGUUGGCAAUAUGGCCGCUUACAUUGAGACACAACGAUCUUCUGGUGGAGCAGGACCUGCGAGGAAAAGGGAUCGAAUAAUACAAGAUCAUUGUAGACGCUUUGUUUCAUGUGGUGUUGACUUGUACAUGUAUGUAUUUAUUGUGAUGCUAACUUUUAUACAUUAUUUUGAUCAUCUAUUCAUGUUUCUUGUUGUCAGUAAAUAAAAUAUAAAUAUUUUAUUCAUGUA